ensembl:lncRNA uncharacterized protein PB18E9.04c-like
CACUCCUUUUCUUUGCUGAUGUUGUGCCUGUUUCCCGUUUACGGAGGGCAACACCCAGCAGCAGUGACAAGACCACCCCAGCUACGCUGUCCGCCUACUACUUAUGCGUCAGAAUCACCAACCAGAUUUACACUGAGUCACUCAAUAAUCAAAGCUCUAAGGAGUACAAACAGCUGAGGAAACAGGUGGAACAGAUGAUGGAUGACGUCCACAGCCCUUUGCCAGAGUCUGACAAAUAUCUGGGUGUAUUUGAUAUAAUCUUCAGGUCUACUUUCCACUCAUAUCCAAUCAAAUAAAUCCAAAACCCUUGCUCUGGACCUCGCCUAUACUGAAGGUAAAGAAGAUGGCAACCUUAUCUACUUCUGCUGUGUAGAAGCCUGAUUCAUUUGUAUGUUAAAAAAACUGUUUUGUAAAUAGCUUAAGAAACUGUUAUUAGUCAAAUAAAGCAGGAAUCACAAAUAUGUUCUUUAUUCCUUAGGUCAACUUCCAAUAAAAGCCACACUACCUCUUGUAGCACGUACCACAGCAACCGUAACUUCCUCACCACCAUCUACCACAAAUACCCCUGCAGCGACGACUACUACAGCUGCCUUAGUUAGUACGGCUAGCAGUUCAGGAAGGGUCGGGAUGACAUUGCAUCUACAGCAAUGAUUUCAUCUGGCAACAUCACCAGUCUUGCAACAGUUAGUAUCACAAGUAGUCAUACCCUCACAACCACCACCACUAGUCCUGACCAAAACAGUACAAUUAGCAGCAUUACCACUCAUAUUCCUGAAGACCAUAGCAGUACAAUUAGCAGCAUUACCACUCAUAUUCCUGAAGAACAUAACAGUACAAUUAGCAGCAUUACCACUCAUAUUCCUGAAGAACAUAACACUACAAUUAGCAACAUUACCACUCAUAUUCCUGAAGACCAUAACAGUACAAUUAGCAGCAUUACCACUCAUAUUCCUGAAGAACAUAACACUACAAUUAGCAACAUUACCACUCAUAUUCCUGAAGACCAUAACAGUACAAUUAGCAGCAUUACCACUCAUAUUCCUGAAGAACAUAACACUACAAUUAGCAACAUUACCACUCAUAUUCCUGAAGAACAUAACACUACAAUUAGCAGCAUUACCACUCAUAUUCCUGAAGAACAUAACACUACAAUUAGCAGCAUUACCACUCAUAUUCUUGAAGAACAUAACACUACAAUUAGCAGCAUUACCACUCAUAUUCCUGAAGAACAAUACACAACAAUUAGCAGCAUUACCACUCAUAUUCCUGAAGAACAUAACACUACAAUUAGCAGCAUUACCACUCAUAUUCCUGAAGAACAAUACACUACAAUUAGCAGCAUUACCACUCAUAUUCCUGAAGAACAUAACACUACAAUUAGCAGCAUUACCACUCAUAUUCCUGAAGAACAAUACACUACAAUUAGCAGCAUUACCACUCAUAUUCCUGAAGAACAUAACACUACAAUUAGCAGCAUUACCACUCAUAUUCCUGAAGAACAAUACACUACAAUUAGCAGCAUUACCACUCAUAUUCCUGAAGAACAUAACACUACAAUUAGCAACAUUACUACUCAUAUUCCUGAAGACCAAAACACAACAAUUAGCAACGUAACCACCCAUAUUCCUGGAGACCAUAACACUACAAUUAGCAACACAACCACCCCUAUUACCCCUAAAAAUCCUCCCCAGACCAGUAACACGACAGUCUUUCGUAAAACCUCUCCAUCAACAACUACCUCGGGCCAAUCUAACCCCCCAGUUGCCCCUACUGAGAGAGCAACAAGCAAGUAUCAGGCUGCUACGGGCCAAACAACCAGUCAUAAGAACACAGAGAAUACGGAGGUGACCCAUAAGACCACAGAGAAUGCUGCAGCUGUAGUUGCUGGGGGCAGAGAGGGAGUCCCAGGAUGGGGGAUCGCUCUAUUGGUACUGGCUGCCCUGAUCUUGUUAAUCCUCCUUAUUCUCCUAAUACUGCUGCUAGUGUGGUUGUGCUGUAGGCAGAGAGAUGGAAGCUUCAGCCCAUAUAACCAGAUCAACCACGGGGCAGACAUCCAAAUGUACUCCACACACAGCCGCUUCGACGUGCCCAACGGCAAGCCUAAUGGUGAAAUGGGGGGACCAUUGAAAAACCGAACAGGGAUGCAUGUGGUGAACGAGUACUGACACAUAGAAGCUCCAGUCAAUUGGGUAAGAAGACCAUCUGAAAUGACCUUAUGAAGUAAUAUGCAUGGGAGCAAUGACAAUUCUGUACAAAUGGUCCAAUUAUCUCUGAAGAUCAUGGCGUUGGCUCACUGAUUGUAAUUUCAACCUGUAUUUAUUCAAAUCAAAUUGAUUUAUAAAGCCCUUUUUACAUCCGCUGGUGUCACAAAGUGCUAUACAGAAACGCAGCCUAAAACCCCAAACAGCAAGCAAUGCAGAUGUCCUGUUAUUUUAUUCCUAAUGUUUUUACCAGUGGAGGCUGCUGAGGGGAGGACGGCUCAUAAUAAUAGCCGGAAUGGAGUCAAUGGAAUGGUAUCAAACACGUGGUUUCCAUGUGAAUGGUAUCAAACACAUGGUUUCCAUGUGAAUGGUAUCAAACACAUGGUUUCCAUGUGGUUGUUACCAUUCCAUUGACUCCAUUUGUAUUUCGUAUUAUUCUGUACGUAAAUCAGAGACACUCCAUUUAGUAUAUGUUACUCCUCCCCGACCAACCUCCCUACUUUAGUUUCUGUCUAAAGUAACCAGGCCAUUGAAAGGUAUCAUAUGUCUUGAUGUGCUCAGAAAUAUAUAAAUGAUGUUUCUAAUGGCUCUGAGGCCAUGCUAGCCAUUUUGGCUUCCUUGUGGUUAUGGGUUGAGUUGUAUUUUCAGUCUUUACUGAAGGCAAGCUUAACCUUGGUAAAAAAGAAAGCUGAUCCUAGAUCAGUAAAUGGGGUCAACAUAUGUAUCCUGCAAUUAACAUUGAAGAAGAAUGAGUAGGGGUGCCCCUAAGGACAAUACCCAAUCAGGUACAGUUAACAAGAAGUUAAUUGUUUUCAAAGACUGUAAAUCAAACCUUUUGACUUGGGCUGAGAGAUCCAGAUCUAAUUCCCUACCACUGGAUAAGACAUGUUUUGAGAUAGGAUACUAGCAUGCCAACAAGUUAACUAUUCCACAAACCCAACCCAGUGAGUAAAACACCAAUGUUAUGUAUAUUUGACAAUCUGAUUAAAUAAAUCCACCAUUAUUAAUCAAAUCUGUGAGAUGUAACUAUCUGUAAACAUUUGAAGUGACUGUGCAUUGGAGCUUUGAACUUUGCAUUAAAAAAAUCUAAAUAAUUUUGGGAU